CCUACGGGCGGCAGCAGUGGGGAAUAUUGGGCAAUGGGCGCAAGCCUGACCCAGCAACGCCGCGUGAAGGAAGAAGGCUUUCGGGUUGUAAACUUCUUUUGUCAGGGACGAAGCAAGUGACGGUACCUGAUGAAUAAGCCACGGCUAACUACGUGCCAGCAGCCGCGGUAAUACGUAGGUGGCAAGCGUUAUCCGGAUUUACUGGGUGUAAAGGGCGUGUAGGCGGGGAAGCAAGUCAGAUGUGAAAACCACGGGCUCAACCUGUGGCCUGCAUUUGAAACUGUUUUUCUUGAGUGCUGGAGAGGCAGUCGGAAUUCCGUGUGUAGCGGUGAAAUGCGUAGAUAUACGGAGGAACACCAGUGGCGAAGGCGGAUUGCUGGACAGUAACUGACGCUGAGGCGCGAAAGCGUGGGGAGCAAACAGGAUUAGAUACCCCGGUAGUC
rnacentral:rRNA from 1 species